rnacentral:rRNA from 1 species
UUAUCUUAGUGGCGGACGGGUGAGUAACGCGUGGGUAACCUGCCUUAUACAGGGGGAUAACACUUAGAAAUAGGUGCUAAUACCGCAUAAGCGCACGGGGCUGCAUGGCCCAGUGUGAAAAACUCCGGUGGUAUAAGAUGGACCCGCGUCUGAUUAGCUUGUUGGCGGGGUAACGGCCCACCAAGGCGACGAUCAGUAGCCGGCCUGAGAGGGUGGACGGCCACAUUGGGACUGAGACACGGCCCAAACUCCUACGGGAGGCAGCAG